rnacentral:misc_RNA from 1 species
UACACGAGAACGUCGAGGUACAGCGCCGCUCCGGUGGAAAU